AGGUUCUGUGCUGCUUCGUAAGACCCCCUUUGAUAGACGAAGCUGUACAAUCAGCUAUGAAGUCGCAUUCGUUGCGUCAACUCUCCAAAUUGAUCUCAUAUAACCUAGUUAGCGAUGUCCAAUAAAGCUGGAUCACUUGGUAACAACCGAGGGUUCAGUUUCAACGAGCAACCGUAUUCUAGACAGAUUUUCACAGAAUGGCAAGACGAACAUAUGUACAACAGCAGCAGUGAAGAUGAGUUCGUUGACGAGAAUCUGGUGCAGUUGUUAGCACAAAGUCAAUCAAUCACGUCUUCAAACAGAGUACAUCAUCCAGUAGAAUUCGAUGGUGGUGGAGUGUUAGAUUUCCAAAGUUCGUCAUAUUUACAGCAAUCUCCAGGACAUCAUGUACGGUAUACGUCUCCAUGUCCGCCAGAAACCGUUAACAAUAAAGUGAAUAUCGGCACACAAGAACGCAUAAAAAAUGGUGAAACCGGAUAUACAAAUAGUAGAAAUAUGCUAACAACAGGAAGCACGCUAACCAGAGGGUCACGAUCACAUAGAAAUGAAAGCAAUACGCUAAAUCGCCGAUUAAUGUCUACUGGGCAAUCAAUGUUAACUUCCUCGAGCAGUACGAUAUCUUCCGUUAGCAACAAUAUUGAACGCGAUCGAGAUAACAAAAAUACAAGUUUGCGAAAAAUGCCAGAUGAGCCACGAUACUAUGUAAUGGAAUCAGAUAUCCCUCACAUUCCACCACCAGACCCUGCUCCUCCGGAAGUACCACCCCGCGCACACUCACUUUAUAGUGCUUCAGUAAAACUAGCACGUCAAUUAGGAAAAAAUCAGACUACGUCUUGAAGAUUGACAAAAAUGGUGAUCAAACUCACGAAGAGUACAUACCGCCCGGUCAACAAGAUUACCUUCGUUCUAGCAGUCCAAAAGCGACAGCCGUAUAUCCUUCAAGAUCACCAACGUUUAACGGUUCGCAGCAAAGUAACAG